GGCAGUUGAGAUUCAGACCUUGACAGUUGUAACCGAUAGACUGGGCUGGGGCAACGCUGAUGAAAGGCAAAUUCCUGAGAGAAAAAUCACCCAGAGUAAGGAGUUUGGCACUGUAGACUAGAUUCAGCUGCAGGAAUUGUGCACUAGAAAAAUGCAGUGUUUCUUUUUUUUUUUUUUUUGAGACGGAGUCUUGUUCUGUCGCCAGGCUGGAGUGCAGUGGCACCAUCUUGGCUCACUGCAACCUCUCUCUCCCGGGUUCACAAGAUUCUCCUGCCUCAGCCUCCUGAGUAGCUGGGAUUACAGGCACCCACCACGAUGCCCGGCUAAUUUUUAGUAGAGACAGGGUUUCACCAUGUUGACCAGGCUGGCCUCGAACUCCUGACCUCAUGUGAUCUGCCCGCCUGGGCCUCCCAAAGUGCUGGGAUUACAGGUGUGAGCCACUGCGCCCGGCCAAGAUGUGGUGUUUCUAAUGGCAGGCACUUGAACCCAAUUGAACCCUGAGAGCUCUCUGAGAGGGCUGUGUGUCUUGGGAAUGAGAGAGUUAUGAGUUUUUCAGUGCCUUCUCUAGCUUUCUAGAAGUUGUUAUGAGUGGACCUGACUACCUAGAGAGAGUAAUACAGAAGCUCCGUGCCGAUCACAGCUACCUCAUUACCAUGUUCCUCCAAGAUGGCCGCCCCUGAGGAGAAUCAUCAACUGGGCUUUACGGAAGAGAGAAAUCCAAACGACCAUCAGCAACAAAUGAAAGACUGAAGUUGAAAGGAAAUCCAUAAUUUUUGAAUGCUGGCCGAGGUCUGUGACCUCUGACUGAAUGGUUUCCAAGCUCCGAAUUCCUAGGUGAUGUUUUCAUUUGUUCACACUUGCUGAAGAAGGGAAAGGCUCUCUGAUUUACGUGUAAGCAAAACAAUCUAAACAGUAGGAUAAAAUCAUGUUGGAAUGGAGUUCUGUGUGGAUGCUCCUUUGAACCAAAUCAGUUCCACAACUGACCCUGUCAGGGACAUAUAAAUUUAGCAUUUUGGUGUGGAUACAGAAGACGAGAUUAACACAGAUCAAGUAACAUGGAAAUAAAAAAGGAGACAAUGCUGGAUGAUACAGGGGCAGCCAACAAGAGGAGAAAACCCAAGCAUUGGCAAAUGCCUCAUUAUCCAAAGAACACUGAGGUGUGGAGCAAAACUGUGUUGAAUGAACUGUAGAUGGAAAUUCUCUCCUUCCCACCGAGGAGCCGCUGCAGGUUGCAGACUCCCAGAAUGCCACACUGAGAAGAGGAGGGCUAAAAUUCUAGAGCAGAAUCCCUGGGGCAGCCCCUGCUGAAGAAGGGUGCAUCUGUUGAGAAUCUCAUCACCGCCCCCACCCCGCCCAGCCUUCAAUUUAGAGGAAUUUCUAGUUCACGCAGAAUGAAGACAAGAUCACAUAAGUGAGGACGACGCCCCAUUUACAAGUGUGAUUUGGAAGACUGAAGUGGAAACCUUGGGAAGGGGCCUCAGAGUAUGUCAGCUGGGGUCAGACGGGAACAGGAGUCUGGCUCAACACACAUUUAUUGCACUCCUGUUUCAUGCCAAGAAAUGUACCAAAAUCUGGGACUGUGUAACACAGCAAAGGAAAAGACUCAUCUCCAGGAAGCCCCCUUGUCUAGGAAGAGAAAUUGAAUAUCAGCAUAAGGUGGUGAAAAGCUGUGAAGGAGAUGAGUGCCAGGAGUCCAUGGAGGAAGGAUUCUAGCCUGGACAGGUGAUUGUGGUGAAUAGUCAUGAGAAUCUGGGAACUGGCUCCUGCUCUGUCUAUCUUGGAGAUGCAUCUUUUAGUCUCCAUGAAUUGCAAGGGAAAACAAGUGGUACACUGGUAUUUCUAUUUGAUAACCUGUUCUCUUUGGAAUUCCGGUUAGAAAUCAAAGGCUUACUUGAGUUUUAAUGCUUUCGGGACUUCAAAUGCUUUUCUAUCUUCCUAAUAAUAUAUUAACAUUUUCUGAAGACAACAUAUAUGUGGAAAACAACAUUAUUUACUCAAAUAAUUUUUUUUGAAAAAUGGACCAAAAAAAAAGAAAAACCAACAAAAA
ensembl:lncRNA LINC01206 long intergenic non-protein coding RNA 1206